rnacentral:rRNA from 1 species
CCAGCAGCCGCGGUAAUACGUAGGGUGCGAGCGUUAAUCGGAAUUACUGGGCGUAAAGCGUGCGCAGGCGGUUUGCUAAGACCGAUGUGAAAUCCCCGGGCUCAACCUGGGAACUGCAUUGGUGACUGGCAGGCUAGAGUAUGGCAGAGGGGGGUAGAAUUCCACGUGUAGCAGUGAAAUGCGUAGAGAUGUGGAGGAAUACCGAUGGCGAAGGCAGCCCCCUGGGCCAAUACUGACGCUCAUGCACGAAAGCGUGGGGAGCAAACAGGAUUAGAUACCCUGGUAGUCCACGCCCUAAACGAUGUCAACUAGUUGUUGGGGAUUCAUUUCCUUAGUAACGUAGCUAACGCGUGAAGUUGACCGCCUGGGGAGUACGGUCGCAAGAUUAAAACUCAAAGGAAUUGACGG